UGGCGGCCGUGCCAACACAUGCAAGUACGAACGAAGCAAUAGAGACGGAGAUCGUCGAAGCCUUAUUGACUAGUGGCGGACGGGUGAGUAAUGUAUGAGCAACCUGCCUUCAGAGGGGACAACAGUUGGAAACGACUGCUAAUACCGCAUAAUGUACCCGGGGGACAUCCCCCCGGAUACCAAAGGAGCAAUCCGCUGAAAGAUGGGCUCAUAUCUGAUUAGCUUGUUGGCGGGGUAACGGCCCACCAAGGCGACGAUCAGUAGCCGGACUGAGAGGUUGAACGGCCACAUUGGGACUGAGAUACGGCCCAGACUCCUACGGGAGGCAGCAGUGGGGAAUAUUGGGCAAUGGGCGAAAGCCCUGACCCAGCAACGCCGCGUGAAGGAAGAAGGUCUUCGGAUUGUAAACUUCUUUUAUGAGGGACGAAGGACGUGACGGUACCUCAUGAAUAAGCCACGGCUAACUACGUGCCAGCCGCUGC
rnacentral:rRNA from 1 species